AAGCAAAAGUGGUUUCAAUCCACGGACCUCUGGGUUAUGGGCCCAGCACGCUUCCACUGUGCCACUCUGCU
rnacentral:tRNA from 1 species